GGCGUGUACAGGUCCUGGGGCCCGCUCGGUGGCGCUGCUACCUCUGGGAGCCGGCAGGCAGUAUUUUUAACCUGUCUUACGCUCGGGACUCAGGUGGCUCAGGAAGUGGCCCGGUCUGGUGACCUUCAUCUCUAAAACCUGUACCUGUCAGGAAGGGACGAGUCGGAAGGAGAGCCCGAAGCUGGACCCACCUAGGCCUUCAACGCUGUCUGGAUGUCUCAGACACAUCCGUUAAAUUAGAGGAAUAAAAGAUCUUCGCAUAAGCUGCCAAAGUCACCUCCCUUCCUGCCAAAUAAAACAGACAAACCUUA